CGUGCCGGGCGGCUCGGGAGCUGCGGCUCCGGGGAUGCUCCCGCAGCAUGGCAGCACCCGGAAUGCCACGGCGACAGCGAGCCGGGCAUGUGGCCACGGGGACAGGAGGGAUGGCAUGAGGCUGCGGGGCUCCGUGCCACGGGGGUGCUCAGCCCCCAGAGAGGAUGCUCAGCAUCAAGGUGGGAUGACCAGCCCCAGGGAAGGCGGUCUGCUCCUUUCUCCCAGGCCGAAGUCCCAGUGAGGCUCCCUGGGCUGGCUCUGGCAGCAACUCCUGUGCUCAUCCCUGGCUCACCUGGGCAGGAGCACCCACACCUCCCGAGCACCACAUUCCCAGACAGGGAGAACCGGACAGUGCUCCAGGCCGGGGCAGAGGGGCUGGAAUGCUGGAAAAGGUGCUGGGGUGUGGACACGAAUCCAGGUGAGCCCAGGCCACAGCACAGGUACAACCCAGUGAUGCUGCUGGGGUGCAGCAGCUCCUCUCCACCAACCACUGAGGACACCAGCCCUGCCUGGAAGCACUCACCAGCC